rnacentral:rRNA from 1 species
CCUACGGGUGACAGCAGUGAGGAAUAUUGGUCAAUGGGCGAGAGCCUGAACCAGCCAAGUCGCGUGAGGGAGUACUUCCCUAUGGGUUGUAAACCUCUUUUGUCGGGGAGCAAAAGCCGGACGUGUCCGGCUGUGAGAGUACCCGAAGAAAAAGCAUCGGCUAACUCCGUGCCAGCAGCCGCGAUAAUAAGGGGGAUGCGAGCGUUAUCCGGAUUUACUGGUUUAAAAGGGUGGUCAGGCGGAUUUUUAAGUCAGCGGUCAACUGGUGGGGCUCAACCCCAUCCAGCCGUUGAAACUGGGGAUCUAGAGUGUGCGAGAGGUAUGCGGAAUGCGUGGUGUAGCGGUGAAAUGCAGAGAUAUCACGCAGAACCCCGAUUGCGAAGGCAGCAUACCGGUGCACAACUGACGCGCGGGCACGAAAGCGUGGGUAUCGAACAGGAUUAGAUACCCCUGUAGUC